GACGAACGCUGGCGGCGUGCUUAACACAUGCAAGUCGAACGGAAAGGCCCUGCUUUUGUGGGGUGCUCGAGUGGCGAACGGGUGAGUAACACGUUAGUAACCUGCCCUUGACUUUGGGAUAACUUCAGGAAACUGGGGCUAAUACCGGAUAGGUGCUCCUGCUGCAUGGUGGGGGUUGGAAAGUUUCGGCGGUUGGGGAUGGACUCGCGGCUUAUCAGCUUGUUGGUGGGGUAGUGGCUUACCAAGGCUUUGACGGGUAGCCGGCCUGAGAGGGUGACCGGCCACAUUGGGACUGAGAUACGGCCCAGACUCCUACGGGAGGCAGCAGUGGGGAAUAUUGCACAAUGGGCGGAAGCCUGAUGCAGCAACGCCGCGUGCGGGAUGACGGCCUUCGGGUUGUAAACCGCUUUCGCCUGUGACGAAGCGUGAGUGACGGUAAUGGGUAAAGAAGCACCGGCUAACUACGUG
rnacentral:rRNA from 1 species